rnacentral:rRNA from 1 species
UAAGACAGAGGUGCCAAGCGUUAGGCGGAAUCACUGGGCUUAAAGCGUGUGUAGGCGGGUCGUUAAGUACCUUGUGAAAUCCCACAGCUCAACUGUGGAACUGCUCGGUAUACUGGCGAUCUUGAGCCACUUAGGGGCUGUCGGAACAAACGGUGGAGCGGUGAAAUGCGUAGAUAUCGUUUGGAACGCCAAAGGUGAAAACAGACAGCUGGGA